GCAUUUUUAUUAUAAAAAGUAUAAAAAAUUUAGAAUUUUUAGGUUUUGAAUGUA
rnacentral:tRNA from 1 species